rnacentral:rRNA from 1 species
ACAAGCGGUGGAGCAUGUGGUUAAUUCGAUGCAACGCGAAGAACCUUACCUGGUCUUGACAUCCCGGAGACCCUUAGGAAACUAGGGGGUGCUUCCAUCUGGAAGAAUCUGGAGACAGGUGCUGCAUGGCUGUCGUCAGCUCGUGUCGUGAGAUGUUGGGUUAAGUCCCGCAACGAGCGCAACCCUUGCCUUUAGUUGCCAGCAGUUCGGCUGGGCACUCUAAAGGGACUGCCGGUGUUAAACCGGAGGAAGGUGGGGAUGACGUCAAGUCCUCAUGGCCUUUAUGACCAGGGCUACACACGUACUACAAUGGCCGAUACAAAGGGCAGCGACACUGCGAGGUGAAGCCAAUCCCGUAAAAUCGGUCUCAGUCCGGAUUGGAGUCUGCAACUCGACUCCAUGAAGUUGGAAUCGCUAGUAAUCGUGGAUCAGCAUGCCACGGUGAAUACGUUCCCGGGCCUU